rnacentral:rRNA from 1 species
AACGAACGCUGGCGGCAGGCUUAACACAUGCAAGUCGAACGCCCCUUUCGGGGGGAGUGGCAGACGGGUGAGUAACGCGUGGGAACGUGCCCUUCAGUUUGGAAUAACCCAGGGAAACUUGGGCUAAUACCGGAUACGCCCUUCGGGGGAAAGAUUUGUCGCUGAAGGAUCGGCCCGCGUCUGAUUGGCUGGUUGGUGAGGUAAUGGCUCACCAAGGCGACGAUCAGUAGCUGGUCUGAGAGGAUGAUCAGCCACAUUGGGACUGAGACACGGCCCAAACUCCUACGGGAGGCAGCAGUGGGGAAUAUUGGACAAUGGGCGCAAGCCUGAUCCAGCCAUGCCGCGUGAGUGAUGACGGCCUUAGGGUUGUAAAGCUCUUUCGCACGCGACGAUAAUGACGGUAGCGUGAGAAGAAGCCCCGGCUAACUUCGUGCCAGCCGCCGCGGUAAUAC